rnacentral:rRNA from 1 species
UACGAAGGGAGCUAGCGUUGUUCGGAAUCACUGGGCGUAAAGCGCACGUAGGCGGAUGUGUCAGUCAGGGGUGAAAUCCCGGAGCUCAACUUCGGAACUGCCCUUGAUACAGCACGUCUUGAGUCCGGAAGAGGUGGGUGGAAUUCCUAGUGUAGAGGUGAAAUUCGUAGAUAUUCGCAAGAACACCAGUGGCGAAGGCGGCUCACUGGCCCGAUACUGACGCUGAGGCACGAAAGCGUGGGGAGCAAACAGG